rnacentral:rRNA from 1 species
AAAGGGGCUUCGGCCCUGAGUAGAGUGGCGAACGGGUGAGUAACACGUGGGUGAUCUACCUCUGAGUGGGGGAUAACGUUCCGAAAGGAGCGCUAAUACCGCAUGACGUUCUGGGUUUGAAGACCUGGAAACCAAAGUCGGGGACCGCAAGGCCUGGCGCUUGGAGAGGAGCCCGCGCCUGAUUAGCUAGUUGGUGAGGUAAUGGCUCACCAAGGCGACGAUCAGUAGCCGGCCUGAGAGGGCGGACGGCCACACUGGGACUGAGACACGGCCCAGACUCCUACGGGAGGCAGCAGUGGGGAAUUGUUCGCAAUGGGCGCAAGCCUGACGACGCAACGCCGCGUGGAGGAUGAAGGUCUUCGGAUUGUAAACUCCUGUUGAUGGGGACGAAUGGGCUCCGACCUAAUACGUCGGGGCAAUGACGGUACCCGUUGAGGAAGCCACGGCUAACUCUGUGCCAGCAGCCGCGGUAAUACAGAGGUGGCAAGCGUUGUUCGGAAUUACUGGGCGUAAAGGGCGCGUAGGUGGUGUUGUCAGUCAGACGUGAAAUCCCCAGGCUUAACUUGGGAACUGCGUCUGAUACUACAAGACUUGAGUUCGGGAGAGGGAUGUGGAAUUCCAGGUGUAGCGGUGAAAUGCGUAGAUAUCUGGAGGAACACCGGUGGCGAAGGCGGCAUCCUGGACCGAAACUGACACUGAGGCGCGAAAGCUAGGGGAGCAAACGGGAUUAGAUACCCCGGUAGUCCUAGCCCUAAACGAUGAGUGCUUGGUGUGGCGGGUAUCGAUCCCUGCCGUGCCGAAGCUAACG